ACCGGAACAGGAGAUGGAGCGAGUCGUGUGAACUGAGGUUGACUGACACCUGAACCCAUUUUUCACAUUCGGGUUACUGCGUCAUUUCUGUAGAUGAGAACAUGUUAUUAACAUGGUAUUAACGUGGUAUUAACAUGGUAUUAACAUGAUAUAGAUAAUUUUCAGUAGAAGGUAAGUGAGGGGAGUAUGCAGAGGAGCAUUAUGGGAAAGGCAAACAGUUUGCUGUAGUUGGAUGGAAAUUAGCGGGUUGAGUAUUGUGAUCUUAUAGUUGGGUCUUCAAACUGGAGUGAGAGGGACUAGGCUAUUGAUUGGCUUGGCCUACUCUUCCAGUAAAGGUUUAGAAAGGUAGCUCAGAUGGAACGAGUAGUUUAAAGGUAGCUCAGAUGGAACGAGUAGUUUAAAGGUAGCUCAGAUGGAACGAGUAGUUUAAAGGUAGCUCAGAUGGAACGAGUAGUUUAAAGGUAGCUCAGAUGAGUCGAGUAGUUUAAAGGUAGCUCAGAUGAGUCGAGGAGUUUAAAGGUAGCUCAGAUGGAACGAGUAGUUUAAAGGUAGCUCAGAUGGAACGAGUAGUUUAAAGGUAGCUCAGAUGAGUCGAGUAGUUUAAAGGUAGCUCAGAUGAGUCGAGGAGUUUAAAGGUAGCUCAGAUGAGUCGAGGAGUUUAAAGGUAGCUCAGAUGAGUCGAGGAGUUUAAAGCUAGCUCAGAUGAGUCGAGAAGCAAGGAACAGUCACGUAGAGUCAGAGGUAGUGAGACGUUGAAUCGGAAAGUGACCGGAAAAGGUUGGGGACGUUUUAGAAGCCGGAGAGGGGGUGCGGCUUGUUGGGAAGCCGUGUGCGGGGACCUGGCAGGGGUGUAACCCGUCAUGUGAUACCGGGAACAGCCCCCACGCACACGCACACACACACACACACAGAACAGGGCGUCUGGGUUAAGGCUGAAGUAUUCCAGCCUAUUUCUGUCUGCUUGGAGCACAGCACCAAAAGGCACAAGUGCCACAUAUGCAGGUGGGCAGGCAGUCCACAAAACCAAACCUCCCAUCAAGCUUGAAUGUUUUUUUUUUUUUUUAAAAAAGGGUCAGCGUGUUUUAACAAGAUCCUGGGUAUGUGAAAAUGUAAUUAAAAAAAUUAAAAACAAAAAAAAUUACAAAAUAAAGGGAAACAGACCUGCUCUGUAUGGUAUUGAGUUAUAACGUAUUGUUAACUGGAUUUACAGUGAUAAAAUUAUACUAUGUUAGUAUUUUUGUUUUAUUAUGCUUGUUUUUGAUUCUCCAAAAUGUAGAAACUGCUUGUUGCUUUGUUUUGCGGCAGAAAGCCUGUUUGCCUCUGACUUUCCGGUUGGUCGAGACCCCCUUAGAAUCUCGGUGAGGUGUAGGUGUACGCGCACGCAUGUGUGUGCGUGCGUACGUAGCACGUGUGCAGGUGUGUGCGCGCGUGCGUGGGUAUGCGUGCGUACAGACCAGAGCCCAAGUUAGAGCCAGAAUCCCUAACAGCCUCAGCUCAUCGAAGCAACGAGAGCUCGAGCACCUUAAAGGUGAUUUAAGCGCAGCGCCCGAAUCUGGCCGCUGCAGUUAGCGGAAACUAGCGUUACCGCUCUUUACGCCGCCGAAGCUAAAGCCAACGCGCUCUUAUUGUGACGCCUUGUUUCCGCGCCGUACCCACACUAGCAACUCCGUGGACGUGCGGAUAAAAACUACGGACAGGAUGCAAGAAAAAAAAAAAAAGAGCUGGGGUCCCUUUCAACCGAAGCGGAGUAAACUCGACUCGAGGAGGGCGGGCUCGCCAGAUGGAACCAAUCAGAGUUCACAACAGCGCUGUCUGCCAAACUGGAAACAACUGCUGCUUGUUUGUUAGUUAGGAGGGAGCAUAAAAAUAGGAAAACUUGACUGGAUGUUGUUAUGAUACAGGUAUUAAUAUGUUAUUUAACUAUUCUGUUUUUUGUUUUGAUUUUUAUUUUUUACAAUUCAUUUGUAACUGCCACGAUUAUCAUUCCGGUAUCAAUGUAAAUGUAAAACCUAGAUGGCUGAGGUGGUCAUUGUUUAGUGCCUUUGCUAUAAUUAUGUUCAUAUUUAACUGCUACGAUGAUAAUCAGUGUUUUUUUUUAUACUUCUAUUUAUUGGUGGUAAAGCCAGGUUAUGUGCUGUAUUGCUACUCUGUCCAUGUUAUGACUCGUGACCGGGGGGAGAUGACAGACACCAUAGAGAGAACGGAAGUAGACGCUGAACAAAAGCCGUGACGACGCAGAGUUUCGCCCAUUCUGCGCUGCGUUGGCUUUUGUGCGGUUUGCCAGAUAUCUAUGGUUUUUUUGUGGAUCUGUUGUCCUCCUCUGACCUGGGUCCUCCACUGGGGGAAUGGUGGGGGGGGGGCUGGGGGGUGUUGGCGUGUGAGAGGCUUCCCCCGCCCCAUCUCUUUCCACUUCAGCCUUGUCACUCCAAGGACCCUCUCAAAUAAACGGAUCUUUUCAAACA